CAGAGCUGAUUAAGCGGUUUGGUGCGGCUUCGAACGGGUAACAGCUCGUCGUUCAUACUUCUUCCUUUUACCUUGUUUGUUGCCUCUCCUUAUGGAUUU
rnacentral:pre_miRNA from 1 species